rnacentral:rRNA from 1 species
AUGAACGCUAGCGACAGGCCUAACACAUGCAAGUCAGGGGCAGCACAAGGAGCAAUCUGAGGUGGCGACCGGCGCACGGGUGAGUAACACGUAUGCAACCUGCCUGUAAGCGGGGAAUAACCCGUUGAAAGACGGACUAAUACCGCAUAAUACUAAAUUACUGCAUGGUAAUUUAUUUAAACAUUUAUGGCUUACAGAUGGGCAUGCGCAUGAUUAGCUAGUUGGAGAGGUAACGGCUCCCCAAGGCAACGAUCAUUAGGGGUUCUGAGAGGAAGGUCCCCCACACUGGUACUGAGACACGGACCAGACUCCUACGGGAGGCAGCAGUGAGGAAUAUUGGUCAAUGGACGAGAGUCUGAACCAGCCAAGUCGCGUGCAGGAAGAAUGUCCUAAUGGAUUGUAAACUGCUUUUGCAGGGGAAUAAAGUGCAUCACGUGUGAUGUUUUGUAUGUACUCUGCGAAUAAGGAUCGGCUAACUCCGUGCCAGCAGCUGC